rnacentral:rRNA from 1 species
CAGUCGACGAGAGAGAGGGAGCUUGCUUCCUUGAUCGAGUGGCGAACGGGUGAGUAACGCGUGAGGAACCUGCCUCAAAGAGGGGGACAACAGUUGGAAACGACUGCUAAUACCGCAUAAGCCCACGGCUCGGCAUCGAGCAGAGGGAAAAGGAGCGAUCCGCUUUGAGAUGGCCUCGCGUCCGAUUAGCUAGUUGGUGAGGUAACGGCCCACCAAGGCGACGAUCGGUAGCCGGACUGAGAGGUUGAACGGCCACAUUGGGACUGAGACACGGCCCAGACUCCUACGGGAGGCAGCAGUGGGGAAUAUUGCACAAUGGGGGAAACCCUGAUGCAGCGACGCCGCGUGGAGGAAGAAGGUCUUCGGAUUGUAAACUCCUGUUGUUGAGGAAGAUAAUGACGGUACUCAACAAGGAAGUGACGGCUAACUACGUGCCAGCAGCCGCGGUAAAACGUAGGUCACAAGCGUUGUCCGGAAUUACUGGGUGUAAAGGGAGCGCAGGCGGGAGAACAAGUUGGAAGUGAAAUCCAUGGGCUCAACCCAUGAACUGCUUUCAAAACUGUUUUUCUUGAGUAGUGCAGAGGUAGGCGGAAUUCCCGGUGUAGCGGUGGAAUGCGUAGAUAUCGGGAGGAACACCAGUGGCGAAGGCGGCCUACUGGGCACCAACUGACGCUGAGGCUCGAAAGUGUGGGUAGC